rnacentral:rRNA from 1 species
CUCAGAUUGAACGCUGGCGGCAGGCCUAACACAUGCAAGUCGAACGGUAACAGGAAGAGCUUGCUUCUUUGCUGACGAGUGGCGGACGGGUGAGUAAUGUCUGGGAAACUGCCUGAUGGAGGGGGAUAACUACUGGAAACGGUAGCUAAUACCGCAUAACGUCGCAAGACCAAAGAGGGGGACCUUCGGGCCUCUUGCCAUCGGAUGUGCCCAGAUGGGAUUAGCUGUGGUGGGGUAACGGCUCACCUAGGCGACGAUCCCUAGCUGGUCUGAGAGGAUGACCAGCCACACUGGAACUGAGACACGGUCCAGACUCCUACGGGAGGCAGCAGUGGGGAAUAUUGCACAAUGGGCGCAAGCCUGAUGCAGCCAUGCCGCGUGUAUGAAGAAGGCCUUCGGGUUGUAAAGUACUUUCAGCGGGGAGGAAGGGAGUAAAGUUAAUACCUUUGCUCAUUGACGUUACCCGCAGAAGAAGCACCGGCUAACUCCGUGCCAGCAGCCGCGGUAAUACGGAGGGUGCAAGCGUUAAUCGGAAUUACUGGGCGUAAAGCGCACGCAGGCGGUUUGUUAAGUCAGAUGUGAAAUCCCCGGGCUCAACCUGGGAACUGCAUCUGAUACUGGCAAGCUUGAGUCUCGUAGAGGGGGGUAGAAUUCCAGGUGUAGCGGUGAAAUGCGUAGAGAUCUGGAGGAAUACCGGUGGCGAAGGCGGCCCCCUGACGAAGA